rnacentral:lncRNA from 1 species
UACAUAUUUAGUCGUAGGACGUGAAGGUCCGGGCUAGCAACAGGGAUGAAGGCUUGCUCAUCUUCGAGUAGGAAGGCGGGCGCCGCACGGGCUUUGAGAACAAAAACGCUAAAAGGCCGUGACAUGUUGCUCUUUUGUAUCACCGCUGUUAGUGCAUAGUAGAUACUCAGAUUAGUGUAGGUUGAGUUUACGCUCGCGUUGAGGAGCCGAGUGAGUUUUUACAGUUGAGUUAGGCUGUUUUAUACUGUCGGGUACCAUUGGGGCUGACAAUGGACCCAGAUUCUUACACCUUAUAUCAAAUUGUGCCGAGGGUAUAUGAGCCUUGGUUGUUAAACCAGUUUGACCCAUUUGUAUUGAUUAUAACCUGUAUGAGUCUGAUUGAGCUCGACAGAGACACGCUUGCAUAUUAGGUUGGGUCGCUCCUACGAGUGCCGCUCCGGAUUGAGGCUUUACUUGCGUUGAUGUAACAUACCAGAUUUUGGUAUAAAAAUAAAAAUAAAUAAAAAUAGUGUGAGAAACUAUUUUUAUUGAAUUUGUAGGAGUAAAACAUAAGUCAGAAGUGACUUGUGCUGAAAUCGGAUUGAAAACAGAAGAUCUAGAAUUUUCUGUUGGAAACGGGACAGAUAAAUUAGCAGAAAAUGCACAGUCUCAGAAAAUUAUGAAAAUUGGAGGAUAAGUCAGAAAUAUUUUUAUGAGGCUAGAUUUAAAGUUUCAUAUUUUUCUGACACCCGUAGAGUGAGAAAUAAAAUCUGACACCUAUCUGAUAAAGAUUACAGUUCGGCACAGUUUUCGG